UAGUCCACGCCGUAAACGAUGGAUACUAGGUGUCCGGGAUAUUAACCUCCUGGGUACUACAGUUAACGCGUUAAGUAUCCCGCCUGGGGAGUACGGUCGCAAGGCUAAAACUCAAAGGAAUUGACGGGGGCCCGCACAAGCGGUGGAGUAUGUGGUUUAAUUCGAAGCAACGCGCAGAACCUUACCUACCCUUAACAUUUCACGACGUAUACAGAGAUGUAUAUUUCUCUUCGGAGACGUGAGGAUAGGUGCUGCAUGGCUGUCGUCAGCUCGUGUCGUAAGAUGUCUGGUUAAGUCCAAUAACGAGCGCAACCCUUAUCCUUAGUUACCAGCAUUAAGUUGGAACUCUAGAAAGACUGUCGGUUAUAAACCGGAGGAAGGCGGGGAUGACGUCAAGUCAGCAUGCCCCUUAUGCCCUGGGCUACACACGUGCUACAAUGGACGAGACAAUGAGUUACAAAUCUGCGAAGAUAAGUUAAUCUAUAAACUCGUUCUAAGUUCGGAUUGUAGGCUGCAACUCG
rnacentral:rRNA from 1 species